UGUAAUCUGAGUGCUCUCAUGCCUAAAAUUCUUCACUUAAUCAAUGUUAGGCAUGAUCUUGCUUCUUCACAAAAAGCAUUCCUAAUGAUUUCUGUGACAUAGUUGUGAAAUGGGUCUCUUUCUAUGAAAUGAGUUCUAUUGGUUUCUCUUAAAUAGGUUUCUGGGGCUUCUAAUACAUUAAAAGGCAAGAAAUAACGGAAAUCAAGCAAAAAUGAGGCUGCUUCUGUUUCUAACUUUAACUAUCAACUAGUUAAUGGGGGUUUCUCUAAUUAACUUUAGUUCAUAAAUUUUAUUAUCAAGUAGUGGUUAAUUUUUCCAUUGUGAUUUUGUGGGUGGUUUCCAUUCCAAUGUGAUUCAUGGCUCAUCAUCUUAUUAAUAAAUGUGAUUCAUGUUUCUAAUUUUCUUAUAAUUUUUUAUGAUUCAUGUUUCUUAUGUUUAUAAUUUUCUUAUGAUUUUGUGAGUGAAAGGGUGAUUAUUUGAUUCAUGGUGUUGGAAGGAAUACUUGUGUUCAGGUGAUGCUUUUGGUGUUUGGAAGGACUAUUUUUUAUUUUAGUUUGAGGCUAGAGCUAGUGUGUCUUUUCUUCAGCCUAAAGCCAGACGACCGGUCGUGGAUUUUAUUGUUACAACUUAAGAUGUGUUGAGAGAAUUGAUGAAUCUGACAAUAUGUGUUGAGAGAAUUGAUGAAGGAAGGACGGAUAUCUCUUCUGCGGAUAAAGUUCAUGUUGUCUGCAAGGAAGGAUGGGGUGUUCAUGGUGCAAGCUGCUAGCAACAAGGGUUCGAGCCCUUACACGAUAGUGUCUUAUAGCCCUUGGGCCAUGGGUGUGGCUACUUGAACCACAGACAAAACUUGCACUAUCAAAAGCUUGGUGGGGUGGGAUUAUCGGGUAAAACUCUUGCUUUUGCUUUGGAUCCUGACUUCCAAAGCUAGUUCAUAAUCAAUUAUCAUUUUUAUUUUUAUUUUUUUCUAUAAACACGUAAUAAAACACAAAAUAUACAUGAAUGGAUAAGUUUUUGAAAAAAAAAAUUUUUGUUAGCUGAACCCACUUUUGAAAAAAAAUUAUCCAUCCAUGUAUGUUAUGGUCAUGUUUGAUAUUGGGAUAUAUAGAGGGGAAGAUACUUUUUACACUGGAUAUAGGGGAUAAAGAAAAACAUAUGGGUCUCACAUUUUUUAUAUCAUUUUUUUGGUUGUCCAAUAAGAAAUCAGAUGAUGUAUUAUAUCCUCCAAAAGUAAAUGAUACGUAAUACUAACUCCCUAUGAUAUUACUGAUCCACUACCAAAGGAUGGAUAAUCAUCUUUCUAAAAAAUAAUCACUUUUUAUUUUUUAUUUUUUAUUUUUUAUCUUAUACUAUAUCUUACUAACCAAAUAUAAUAAAAUUGAAUUAGGGUGUUGUGUGUCUUUGUACUAUUUGAGAUGACCGAGUGGUUUUCUCAAACUGUUAAAAUGAUUGUUGUCUAUUUUCACUGCAUACAGCAUUCCAAUGAAUGGUCUCAUCCUCAUGAUAUUUAUUUCUAUAAUCAAUUUGUUGGUUACAUCAAUGACUAUAUAUUCUUAUCAAUACAAUUGACUCCACCGCGUGGCUCUCACGGAUAGCUUUUGACAAAUAGGACUUGUGACAACUGACAUAAUGUAAUUAGGAUGCGUAGGUUUGGAAUUAGACCCGAAAAUGCUUUAAACUUAGUCGAAAAAAAGCAUUUUGGGGUCAAAUAUUCAAAACAGCCCCCCAACCACCGUGUGGCUCUCACGGAUAGCUUCUCCUUGACAAAUAGGACUUGCGACAAUUGACGAAAUGUAAUUAGGAUGCGUAGGUUGCGAGUUAGACCCGAAAACGUCUUAAACUUAGUCCAAAAAGGGCAUUCCAGAGGUGAAAAUUCAAAACAGUCCUCGAACCACCAUGUGGCCCUCACGGACAGCUUCCCCUUGACAAAUAGGCUUUGUGACAACUGACGGAAUGUAAUUAGGACGCGUAGGCUAGGAGUUAGCCCCGAAAAUGCAUUAAACUUAGUCGAAAAAGAGCAUUCCGGGGUUGAAAAUUCAAAACAGUCCCUGAACCACCAUGUGGCUGUCACGGACUGCUUCCCAUUGACAAAUAAGACUUGUGACAACUGACGGAAUGUAAUUAGGACACGUAGGUUGCGAGUUAAACCUGAAAACACUUUAAACUUAAUCGAAAAAUAGCAUUUCGGGGUUGAAAAUUCAAAACAGCUCCACAACCACCGUGUGGCUAUCACAAACAGCUUCUCCUUGACAAAUAAGACUUGUGAGAACUGACGGAAUGUAAUUAGGAUGCAGAGGUUGCAAGUUAGAACCGAAAACGUCUUAAACUUAGUCAAAAAAGGGCAUUUUGAGGGCAAAAAUUCGAAACAACCCCCGAACUACCGUGUGGCUCUCAUGGACAGCUUCCCCUUGACAAAUAGGGCUUUUGACAACUAAUGGAAUGUAAUUAGGCGCAUAGGUUGCGAGUUAGACCCGAAAACGUCUUAAACUUAGUCCAAAAAGGGCAUUCCAGAGGUGAAAAUUCAAAACAGUCCUCGAACCACCAUGUGGCCCUCACGGACAGCUUCCCCUUGACAAAUAGGCUUUGUGACAACUGACGGAAUGUAAUUAGGACGCGUAGGCUAGGAGUUAGCCCCGAAAAUGCAUUAAACUUAGUC